AUCUAGCCGACGAGUCCCAGCUAGGACGAAAUGCGCGUUAUCCUGGAU
rnacentral:hammerhead_ribozyme from 1 species